CCAGUUGGCCGGGCAGCCGCGCUUUACCAAUGCCGAAAGGCGGUAGGGUGAGGAAAGUCCGGGCUCCACGGAAACACGGUGCCGGAUAACGUCCGGCGAGGGCGACCUCAGGGAAAGUGCCACAGAAAGCAAACCGCCUCGCUUGCGAGGUCAGGGUGAAAGGGUGGGGUAAGAGCCCACCGCGUCGCUGGCAACAGGGACGGCACGGCAAACCCCACCGGGAGCAAGACCGAAUAGGGAUGACACGGGUGGUGCGAAAGCGUCGCUACAGCCUGUUUCCGGGCCAGUCAUCCGGGUGGGUUGCGAGAGGCAGCGUGCAAACGCUGUCCCAGAUGAAUGGCUGUCACGUCCCGGGAAACCAGGGGCCUUACAGAACCCGGCUUACAGGCCAACUGGCAAA
rnacentral:RNase_P_RNA from 1 species